rnacentral:rRNA from 1 species
CGAUUGAGUUUGAUCAUGGCUCAGGAUGAACGCUGGCGGCGUGCCUAAUACAUGCAAGUCGAGCGCGAAGAUCAGGAGCUUGCUCCUGAGAUUCGAGCGGCGGACGGGUGAGUAACACGUAGGCAACCUACCCUUGAGAUUGGGAUAACUACCGGAAACGGUAGCUAAUACCGGAUACGACAUUCCUGCAUAAGUAAGAAUGUUAAAAGGCGGAUUUAUCUGCCGCUCAUGGAUGGGCCUGCGGUGCAUUAGCUAGUUGGUGAGAUAGUAGCUCACCAAGGCGACGAUGCAUAGCCGACCUGAGAGGGUGAUCGGCCACACUGGGACUGAGACACGGCCCAGACUCCUACGGGAGGCAGCAGUAGGGAAUCUUCCGCAAUGGACGCAAGUCUGACGGAGCAACGCCGCGUGAGUGAUGAAGGGUUUCGGCUCGUAAAACUCUGUUGUUAAGGAAGAACACUUGAGGUAGUAACUGGCCUUGAGAUGACGGUACUUAACCAGAAAGCCACGGCUAACUACGUGCCAGCAGCCGCGGUAAUACGUAGGUGGCAAGCGUUAUCCGGAAUUAUUGGGCGUAAAGCGCGCGUAGGCGGUAAAAUAAGUCUGAUGUGAAAGCCCCCGGCUCAACCGGGGAGGGUCAUUGGAAACUGUUUUACUUGAGUACAGAAGAGGAGAGUGGAAUUCCAUGUGUAGCGGUGAAAUGCGCAGAGAUAUGGAGGAACACCAGUGGCGAAGGCGGCUCUCUGGUCUGUAACUGACGCUGAGGUGCGAAAGCGUGGGGAUCAAACAGGAUUAGAUACCCUGUAGUCCACGCCGUAAACGAUGAGUGCUAAGUGUUGGGGGGUUUCC